rnacentral:rRNA from 1 species
UCCGGAGGGUGCAAGCGUUAUCCGGAUUCACUGGGUUUAAAGGGUGCGUAGGUGGGCUGGUAAGUCAGUGGUGAAAUCUCCAGGCUUAACUUGGAAACUGCCAUUGAUACUAUCAGUCUUGAAUACCGUGGAGGUCAGCGGAAUAUGUCAUGUAGCGGUGAAAUGCUUAGAUAUGACAUAGAACACCAAUUGCGAAGGCAGCUGGCUACACGAAUAUUGACACUGAUGCAUGAAAGCGUGGGGAUCAAACAGG